rnacentral:rRNA from 1 species
ACACCCGGUCCCAUUCCGAACCCGGAAGUUAAGCCCCCGAGCGCCGAUGGUACUGCGGAGUCAGUCCGUGGGAGAGCAGGACGUCGCUGACC